GCACUAGUAGCUCAAUGUUAGAGCAUCGGUCUUGUAAGCCGGCCGCGGAGGUUAAAAUCCUCCCUAUUGCU
rnacentral:tRNA from 1 species